GCUAUUUGUUCCCUUAUUCACAAGCAGAAUCACUGGGCUGUCUGCAGAGCCCAUAUAUGCUACUACAAAGUUUCAGCAUGCAACAGUCCUAAAAACAUAAUGUCCACAGGGAGUGAACACUGCAUUUCGACUGUAUACAGCCUGACUAGGACCACAGACUAGCUCAUCAUCUGCAAAAUAGAUCACUCAUCAUCUGCAAAGAACUUGGAGAACCUGAAGCGACAUACACAGGAAAAUUGCCAGUCCUCUGUUCAGUGACCCAAGGAGAUGCAUCGGAAGAGGGUCACAUGGGUGUGAGGAAAAGGUUCAUCACCAGACAAUGGUGGACAUGGAGCAGGCUGCCCAGGGCAGCAGUCACGGCAUCAAGCUUCUGGAUUUCAAGGGAACUCAGACAACGCCCUUAGAAUUAUGAUUUGAACAGUGGAUGAUCUUACAUGGAGCCAGGAGUUGGACAAAAUCCUUGUGGGUCUUUUCCAGCUCAGAAUAUUGUAUGAUUCUAUGGUCGCAAUAACAGAUGCAAUACUGCAGAACAUGACUAUAAUGAAGUAUCAUCAGUAUGAGCUACGAGG
ensembl:lncRNA